ACAGACCGUCACUGUCCCUCGUGACGCUCCCUCGUUCCCCUCCACCACAACGCCUCGCUCCCCUCUCGCGCCGCCGGCCGGCCACCCGUCUUCCCCACCUCCGGCCACCGCCGCCCUACCCUCUCUCCCGCAGCCCACCGCCCCUCUCUCCCCACCGCCCCCUUUCUCUACCGUGCGGCCGCUCUCCACCCCGAUCCACAUCGAGCCGCCGACCAGCCUCACCCUAGCUCAGCCUCGCCGGCCACCCCCUCCCCUCCACGGCCGGCAGACUUCCCCAAAGCUGGCUGUCCUCCCCGCCGAGCCAGUGCGCCCCCGGACCCGAAACCCUAGCCGAGCUGCAGCAGCCGCCGCCGCGGGGCCUCAUGGCGCAGUCCCAUGACCAGGUGCUCGCCUCCGCCUCCCUCCUGCACCGUCCGGUGACCGUGCUCCCUGUCCCGCUCGGCGACCUCGCUGCUCCGACGACCCCAAGCUCCGCCUUAAAGGUCAUGAUGCUGUUGCUAGGCGGUGGUUUUCCGUUGGCGGUGGUGCCUUCCGGUGGUUGUCUGUCAUCGGAGUUCCUGGUGCCGCUCUUCUCUGACGAUGAUGCUGUGGACUGGCUGCUGAUUUUGGUGUGGUCACGGUGGUUUUCCUGUGGUGGUGGUGCUGUCCAUCGGAGCUGCUUCCGUUGCCCACCGGAGCUCCUGCCGCACCUUGUUCAGCUCCGUCACUGCCGACGUCAUCAAGGCUUCCUGGCACGGCUCCAUCUCUGACCGGCUGUGUACUGCGGCAUCGCUUGCCUUCUGGGAGAAGGACCAUUUGUAGAGCCUUAGCGGCGACAACUAGGUCGACCUACUCCUGCUCAUGGUUUUCGAGUCGCGCGACUAGUCGAUGAGUCACAAAAAUAUAUCGACUCAACUUGUUAGUGUCGACUCGAGUCGCGAGUCACGACUAGUCACAACUGCAGGCUCGACUUUUUCCGAGUCGCUACCCCAGAGCGACUCGGAUGAGCCGCGACUUGAAAACCAUGCUCCUGCUUCUCUGAUGUCAACCAUGGACAGGUUGCUGCUGAUUGAGCCACUACCACGUCGCGGCAUGAAUGCCAGGUCCAUGUCUUGCUCAUCUCGUGUGUAGAAGUUUUCCCCUGUUUUGUGACUCAAGAAUAGCCAUAUUUAGCAGUCCUGCUAAAGUGCAAAUGGGUCCCGGUGAUGUUGUGGUUGUGGUGGGUCCUCCGGUGGCGGUGCUGACAUCCAGGGGUGCUGUGGUGGUGGUGCUGUCCACCGGAUCUCCUGCUGGUGCUGUCGACGUCUGUGUCCGCUGAGCUGCUGCUGCUGGCGUCGACUACGACAUGCUGCCCCUGCCUUCUUCGACUGGUACCUCCUACAGCACCGCGCCCCCACUGGCGUGCCACUGAAGGUUCGUUUUUGGAUAAAUUCGGUGCUUUUGGAGAAUGAGAUGCUUGUGUGGACUAGAAGGAACAAGGGCUUGACAUUCCUCGCUCGCCGACUGUCUAUGCGGCUCAUUGCCUCCGGCUGCUUGGGUGCCCAAGUUCUCGCAGCAGUGCUUUGGUUGCGGCCUAUAUAAUAUUUUGGUCCUGGUAAUGUCAAGUAGCAGUUGGCAUGGUGGUAGCAUCGUUCUUGUGAUGCUCCAGGUUCAGGCGCUGUAAUGGCUUAGUAGUAUUUCUGAUGUGUCUUGUUUGGGGCCCUGUUUGACUUUUGGGGAUGAUGACUGGCUACCUUGGUUCCGGCUUUGCUUUUAUUCUAAUUGUAAAGAAAAGGGUCUUGCGAUGAUGGAUCGAUGUUGUUGUAUCAGUUCAUCAUCGGAUAUUGAUCUGUUCAUAAUAUUAUUGGCAAGCGAGUAUU